UACGGAGGGUGCAAGCGUUAAUCGGAAUUACUGGGCGUAAAGCGCAUGCAGGUGGUUUGUUAAGUCAGAUGUGAAAGCCCUGGGCUCAACCUAGGAGUUGCAUUUGAAACUGACAAGCUAGAGUACUGUAGAGGGGGGUAGAAUUUCAGGUGUAGCGGUGAAAUGCGUAGAGAUCUGAAGGAAUACCGGUGGCGAAGGCGGCCCCCUGGACAGAUACUGACACUCAGAUGCGAAAGCGUGGGGAGCAAAC
rnacentral:rRNA from 1 species